CGCCUCGGUAGUUAGGGAGGGGCGGGCUGCAUCCCUGAUGGUAGGACCCCCUGGUCUGUUAAGGACGCCAAACGAAGUGCCGCCAAGGCAUUGCCAAAGGGCACCGUCGGUGAGAUACACCGUGUCUUCCGAGCUGCUCAAGUGGGAAAAGAAAAAAUGCCUUAGAUUGCUGGCCAUCUUGCCCUCCCUGGAGGAGAGCCUGGCUGAGGAGCUGGCCAGGUUCCGGAGGAGAGCUGCUGACUCUCCAUACGCCGCGGCGUCUUCUCUCGUGGCCCAGAAACACUCGCUGGGAGGCCGCUGGCUGGAGUUCUGGAGGCUUCUGAAACAGACCCGGCCUCCCCCACGUCUUGCUGAAAGGUGGCCACCAGAGGGAGCACUAAACACAGAAGUCCAGAUGUGUCUCCCUCCUUGCCUUGGAGAUCUGCCCCAACCUGGCUCUCCAGCCACACCGCCAUCCAUCAAAGGUGCCAAGCUCCCAUCAACCUCUGUCCACGUGCUCCCGCCCCAAAACUUUUCCCAACAUUCCUUUUCUUUGGCUUUUAUCUAGAGCUCUUUUAUUUUUAUCCCUCAAUUUAUUUUUAUUUAUUUAUAAUAUUUUAUUUAAAUUCAAUCUCCA
rnacentral:lncRNA from 1 species